UACGUAUGGUGCAAGCGUUAUCCGGAUUUAUUGGGUUUAAAGGGUGCGUAGGCGGGAUGCCAAGUCAGCGGUAAAAAUGCGGUGCUCAACGCCGUCGAGCCGUUGAAACUGGCGUUCUUGAGUGGGCGAGAAGUAUGCGGAAUGCGUGGUGUAGCGGUGAAAUGCAUAGAUAUCACGCAGAACUCCGAUUGCGAAGGCAGCAUACCGGCGCCCUACUGACGCUGAGGCACGAAAGCGUGGGUAUCGAACAGG
rnacentral:rRNA from 1 species